AACUAACUAGCGUCAUCUAACAACUAGAACAAUUAUGACAAUCGUAAACAAACAAGCAAGAUAGUGCAACAAACAUACAAUGAUCGCUGAUGUGUAAUCUUGCAACAAAAAAUUGUAAUUCAUAUAAUAAAGCUAGAAAAUAAAUUAUACACUUAUUUCAAACAUAAUUUAAACAUAUUCUAAAAGAGAAUAAUAUUUAAAAUAUUUUUAUAGACUCUUAAUCUAAAUUUAAUACUGAAAGGUUGAUCGAAUAUAGAGUAAUAAAUUUACAUAAGAAAAAAGGACUCAUGCAAAACGUUUAUCGUAUUUAAUUUUUAAUUUUAGUUUUGAUAUUUCAUGAUUCAAUGCAUUUUUUUUAAAAAAAAAUUUGCACAGAAUAUUUAUAAUAAGCCAAAAUUACAAGCAUAAGGAAUUAAUGAAACCAAUGUUUCUCUGCUUAAUUCGUUGUAAAAUCAUCAGUUGCUCAUCAAUGGAGGAUGCUGUGGAUCAGAAGAAGGCUCUUGAGGAGUCCUGCAAAUCCAAAUGCAAUAAGCCUUAUGUUGAAUACAAGCAAUGUGUUGAGAGAGUUGACAGUGAUGACUCUGGACAGAAGCACUGCACAGGGCAGUACUUCGACUACUGGUCAUGCGUAGACAAAUGUGUUGCACCGAAGCUCUUUCAGGAGCUGAAGUGAGUGCAUAGUGGUGCUCUAUCGUCGCCCGUUUUUCUUGUGUGAUGGAUUACUUUUGGGCACGAGAUUUAAGAAAAUGAUAUAUAUUGAGUUAAGUUUAGGAGGGUUGGAAGCUGGAAGUUCGCCGGGUGGAAUUGGCAAAGCAUGCAAAGAUCAGAAAGUUCGCCCGGUCGGGCGAUUAUGAGCUUCAAAACGCCCGGUCGGGCGAAACACGUAAAAGCAUGAGGAGAGUCCAGAAAGUUCGCUCGGUCGGGCGAUUCUUCAAGACACAAAACGCCCGGUCGGGCGUUUUCCGCGAUGCACCCAGUAGCAGUUCGCCCGGUCGGGCGAUUAUCCCUUCUAAUUUCGCCCGGUCGGGCGUUUGGUGACUCUAACUGCAAAUUGGCAGUUUCCUCGUGGGCGGUUGCUGGAGAAAAAAAAAAAGCAAGGAAAGAGAAAAGGGAGAGGGGGAUAGGCAGCAGUGAUUAGACGGAGGGGACAGCUUCAGUCACUCAACAAAAAUUGAGGAAAAAGAAGUUGACUUUUGGGGGAGAUUUAAUUGAAAAGUGCCGAUUGAUUUGUAUUGAUGAAUUGUUAAUUCUUCAAGCUACUCCAUAAUUCAAAGGCUUCUUCUUCCAUGUCAAUUGCUCCUAGUUUAAUUAUGCUUGGCUAAAAAUCUUGUGUUGCUCCAAACAUGUAAUUGGAUAAUUUGUUCAUGUGAUUUAUGCUAUGUUCUUCUUUAUCUUA